AAGGGUGUGGAAAGGGUGAUCAAGAUCAGGAAGGAAACCCCGUUUUCGGUCUACGAAACCGGCGGUUGAAGGUUCGAGUCCUUCCACUC
rnacentral:tRNA from 1 species